ensembl:processed_transcript si:dkey-23i12.5 si:dkey-23i12.5
CAACGAUGACUACUGCGACUCGCGUGGCAUCAUGGGAAGGACUGCAGUGGACCUUUACCCCACAACUUGUGUCCUUGAGCAGAAUAAGAUGCUACCAGAACUUGCUGAUUAACUGCAGUCAUCUUGAGCAGUUUCCAUGCAUUCUGCUGGGAUGAAGCUGAGACGUGUUAAAUUCAAGGAUUGCUGCAGAGGAUGGGUUUAUGGCGAUCAUGGACAUCUUAUGGGUGUUUCAGCCUUCCUCCUGUUGGCCAUGGCACAGUGCUUUUGGUAGCACUGUCAAAUGACUGGUUACCAAAGAAGUGGCUGUUUACUUAAAAGGAUCCCUGGUUAAAGUCUUUGAUGGGUUGAGUCCUUCUAGCGGUUUUAGGUUCCAGUCAAGAUGUACACAAUGGUAAGAAUGCUUCCUAAAUUUUAUUACUAGUUCAAUUUGUUAAUCUUGCACCUGUGUUCUUCCUGUAACACAUGAUGAUUUAGCAGUCUCGUUCGUCUGAAGUACUGUUGAGAAACCUAGCUUUAUACUGAUGUUACAACUAUCACUUGCAUGUCUGUAUUUGUCAGUUUCUUCCACCUAAAAGUUCUCUUCACUCGUAGGCAAGACGCCUUGUCUGAAGUUAUCCAAACAGGACUGUAGUGGACCAAAUUGUGCAUCCGUGCAGAAAGAGAUGCUACAAGGAUUUACUGAUCGAUUGCCAUCUU